GGAUCAGUAGGUUGGUCGUGCCACCGGUACGUACUGGUCUCACUGAUUCCUCCUUCCUGAAGAACCGUAAUGCCAUUAAUUAGGUGUUGCGGGGAAACAGGACUGUUACUUUGAAAAAAUCAGAGUGUUUAAAGCAAGCUAACGCUUGAAUACAUUAGCAUGGAAUAAUGAAAUAGGACGAUCGAUCCUAUUUUGUUGGUUUCUAGGAUUGACGUA
rnacentral:rRNA from 1 species